rfam:Myotis lucifugus cont2.50782, whole genome shotgun sequence.
AUCGCUUCUUGGCCUUUGGCUAAGAAAAAGUGUAAUAUUUGUUCUUAUCAGUUUAAAAAUAUUGUAGUUUAAUGGAACUAUGCUUGAAUUUACCACUU